GCUGGCUGGCGUGCCUAAUACAUGCAAGUCGAGCGGACAGAAGGGAGCUUGCUCCCGGAUGUUAGCGGCGGACGGGUGAGUAACACGUGGGUAACCUGCCUGUAAGACUGGGAUAACUCCGGGAAACCGGAGCUAAUACCGGAUAGUUCCUUGAACCGCAUGGUUCAAGGAUGAAAGACGGUUUCGGCUGUCACUUACAGAUGGACCCGCGGCGCAUUAGCUAGUUGGUGAGGUAACGGCUCACCAAGGCGACGAUGCGUAGCCGACCUGAGAGGGUGAUCGGCCACACUGGGACUGAGACACGGCCCAGACUCCUACGGGAGGCAGCAGUAGGGAAUCUUCCGCAAUGGACGAAAGUCUGACGGAGCAACGCCGCGUGAGUGAUGAAGGUUUUCGGAUCGUAAAGCUCUGUUGUUAGGGAAGAACAAGUGCAAGAGUAACUGCUUGCACCAUGACGGUACCUAACCAGAAAGCCACGGCUAACUACGUGCCAGCAGCCGCGGUAAUACGUAGGUGGCAAGCGUUGUCCGGAAUUAUUGGGCGUAAAGGGCUCGCAGGCGGUUUCUUAAGUCUGAUGUGAAAGCCCCCGGCUCAACCGGGGAGGGUCAUUGGAAACUGGGAAACUUGAGUGCAGAAGAGGAGAGUGGAAUUCCACGUGUAGCGGUGAAAUGCGUAGAGAUGUGGAGGAACACCAGUGGCGAAGGCGACUCUCUGGUCUGUAACUGACGCUGAGGAGCGAAAGCGUGGGGAGCGAACAGGAUUAGAUACCCUGGUAGUCCACGCCGUAAACGAUGAGUGCUAAGUGUUAGGGGGUUUCCGCCCCUUAGUGCUGCAGCUAACGCAUUAAGCACUCCGCCUGGGGAGU
rnacentral:rRNA from 1 species